AGAAACACCGAGGACGAGUUUCAUUGUUCAAAUGGACUGUGUAUCAAAUUGUUGCAGGUUUGUGAUGGCCAUAAGGAUUGUUCAGAUGGUUCAGACGAGACAAAAGCGUUAUGUGCUCUAUUGCCUCUGCACGAUUAUGGAACAAAUAUGACCAUAGGUUGUGGUAGAGCAUAUGUUGAAAAAAACGUAUAGUUUCCCAAUGUCAAAAAAAAUAAUGUAGGAAUGGCACCUUGGUAUGUUGCAAUAUAUAAAAAUUAAUGGAUUCCAAUUAUGAAUUGAUAUGUGGAGGAUCAAUUAUUGCUCCAAAUGUAAUAAUUUCAGCUGCUUAUUGUGUUAAGAAAAAUGUUGAUAUGUGUCAUCUGAGUUAAUAUCAGUAAAUAAUGGCCUAUACAGAAUUGCUGUUGGAAAAUAUACUAAAGAUAUUAAAGUAAUAGACAGUGAAUUUACUAAAAUAAUAAAUGUAGAAAUGAUUUACCUGAAUGAACAUCAUACACCUCUUACUUUGUCGUAUGCUGAACGUAUAGCUAUAAUUGUAUUACAAAACCUAGUUUCUUUUAAUGAUGUUGUAG